rnacentral:rRNA from 1 species
AUACGUAGGAGACAAGCGUUAUCCGGAUUUACUGGGCGUAAAGGGCGUGUAGGCGGUCUUGCAAGUCAGAAGUGAAAUUCCUGAGCUCAACUCGGGCGCUGCUUCUGAAACUGCAGGACUUGAGUGCUGGAGGGGAUAGCGGAAUUCCUAGUGGAGCGGUAAAAUGCGCAGAUAUUAGGAAGAACACCGGUGGCGGAGGCGGCUAUCUGGACAGUAACUGACGCUUAGGCGCGAAAGCGUGGGGAGCAAACAGGAUUAGAUACCCUGUGAGUCCACGCCGUAAACGAUGAAUACUAGGUGUAGGGGGUAUCGACUCCCUCUGUGCCGCAGUUAACACAAUAAGUAUUCCGCCUGGGGAGUACGGCCGCAAGGUUGAAACUCAAAGGAAUUGACGGGG